UACAGAGGUCUCAAGCGUUGUUCGGAUUCAUUGGGCGUAAAGGGUGCGUAGGCGGCGCGGUAAGUCGGGUGUGAAAUCUCGGGCUUAACUCCGAAACUGCAUUCGAUACUGCUGUGCUUGAGGACUGGAGAGGAGACUGGAAUUUACGGUGUAGCGGUGAAAUGCGUAGAUAUCGUAAGGAAGACCAGUGGCGAAGGCGGGUCUCUGGACAGUUCCUGACG
rnacentral:rRNA from 1 species